rnacentral:rRNA from 1 species
UGGGGAAUAUUGCACAAUGGGCGCAAGCCUGAUGCAGCCAUGCCGCGUGUAUGAAGAAGGCCUUCGGGUUGUAAAGUACUUUCAGUCGGGAGGAAGGUGGUAAGGUUAAUAACCUUAUCAAUUGACGUUACCGACAGAAGAAGCACCGGCUAACUCCGUGCCAGCAGCCGCGGUAAUACGGAGGGUGCAAGCGUUAAUCGGAAUUACUGGGCGUAAAGCGCACGCAGGCGGUUGAUUGAGUCAGAUGUGAAAUCCCCGGGCUUAACCCGGGAAUUGCAUCUGAUACUGGUCAGCUAGAGUCUUGUAGAGGGGGCUAGAAUUCCAUGUGUAGCGGUGAAAUGCGUAGAGAUGUGGAGGAAUACCGGUGGCGAAGGCGGCCCCCUGGACAAAGACUGACGCUCAGGUGCGAAAGCGUGGGGAGCAAACAGG